AGAAGCUUGUGCACAGUUGACUCAGGAAUUUUUCAGAGAGAACACUCUGAGACUUCUGAUAAUUUGUCUUCCGAAAUUGAACUUAGAGGCUCGUAAGAUGCCACUCAAGUUGUUGCAAACUUACAGAGGCAACAAGUUCAUUCGCGAUUGAUUGCUUCAGAUUACCUUGAAUCAAAUCUCGAUCUGAUGGAUAUUUUGAUGGCAGGUUAUGAGAACACGGAGAUGGCUUUACACUAUGGGGCAAUGCUGAGGGAGUGCAUACGGCAUCAGGUUGUUGCAAAGUGAGAUUAUAAACCAGGACUAUUCAUCUUCUUCCUCUCUCUCUGUUUUUCUCUCUCUCUCUCUCUCUCUC